GCAAAAUAUUCAAUUUUGGGAAAAAUGUUUUGUCUGAAUCGUAUAUUCUCACCUGGCAAAAGUCUAAUAAUUCUCCUUCUUGUUGAAUAUCGCUGGAUACGUUCUUCGUUUCAUUUACGGCCUUCCUAUGUUUGGCUAUGUUACCUUACUUGAACGCAAUGCAUUACUCUGUGUUCAUGGUCUUAUGAUCCAUUUAUAUAUAAAUAUAUAGAUUUUGGAUGUAUGAAACCUUUAAACUCUAGAAAUGUGUAUUUUAUUGUGCAAAAUGUACCUCCCCUUGUCCCUCCCUUCCCCUUUUUCUUUC